rnacentral:rRNA from 1 species
GAAUGCUGACAUAAGUAACGAUAAAGCGGGUGAAAAGCCCGCUCGCCGGAAGACCAAGGGUUCCUGUCCAACGUUAAUCGGGGCAGGGUGAGUCGACCCCUAAGGCGAGGCCGAAAGGCGUAGUCGAUGGGAAACGGGUUAAUAUUCCCGUACUUGGUGUUACUGCGAAGGGGGGACGGAGAAGGCUAUGUUGGCCGGGCGACGGUUGUCCCGGUUUAAGCGUGCAGGUGUGUGUUCCAGGUAAAUCCGGUUCACUUUAACACUGAGGCGUGACGACGAGGCACUACGGUGCUGAAGCAACAAAUGCCCUGCUUCCAGGAAAAGCCUCUAAGCCUCAGGUAACAUCAAAUCGUACCCCAAACCGACACAGGUGGUCAGGUAGAGAAUACCAAGGCGCUUGAGAGAACUCGGGUGAAGGAACUAGGCAAAAUGGUGCCGUAACUUCGGGAGAAGGCACGCUGACACGUAGGUGAAGUGGUUUACCCAUGGAGCUGAAGUCAGUCGAAGAUACCAGCUGGCUGCAACUGUUUAUUAAAAACACAGCACUGUGCAAACACGAAAGUGGACGUAUACGGUGUGACGCCUGCCCGGUGCCGGAAGGUUAAUUGAUGGGGUCAGCGCAAGCGAAGCUCCUGAUCGAAGCCCCGGUAAACGGCGGCCGUAACUAUAACGGUCCUAAGGUAGCGAAAUUCCUUGUCGGGUAAGUUCCGACCUGCACGAAUGGCGUAAUGAUGGCCAGGCUGUCUCCACCCGGGACUCAGUGAAAUUGAACUCGCUGUGAAGAUGCAGUGUACCCGCGGCAAGACGGAAAGACCCCGUGAACCUUUACUAUAGCUUGACACUGAACACUGGUCCUUGAUGUGCAGGAUAGGUGGGAGGCUUUGAAGUGUGGACGCCAGUCUGCAUGGAGCCGACCUUGAAAUACCACCCUUUAAUGGCUGGUGUUCUAACGUGGGCCCGUGAACCGGGUUGCGGACAGUGUCUGGUGGGUAGUUUGACUGGGGCGGUCUCCUCCUAAAGAGUAACGGAGGAGCACGAAGGUUGGCUAAUCCUGGUCGGACAUCAGGAGGUUAGUGCAAUGGCAUAAGCCAGCUUGACUGCGAGCGUGACGGCGCGAGCAGGUGCGAAAGCAGGUCAUAGUGAUCCGGUGGUUCUGAAUGGAAGGGCCAUCGCUCAACGGAUAAAAGGUACUCCGGGGAUAACAGGCUGAUACCGCCCAAGAGUUCAUAUCGACGGCGGUGUUUGGCACCUCGAUGUCGGCUCAUCACAUCCUGGGGCUGAAGUAGGUCCCAAGGGUAUGGCUGUUCGCCAUUUAAAGUGGUACGCGAGCUGGGUUUAGAACGUCGUGAGACAGUUCGGUCCCUAUCUGCCGUGGGCGCUGGAAGAUUGAGGGGGGCUGCUCCUAGUACGAGAGGACCGGAGUGGACGCAUCACUGGUGUUCGGGUUGUCAUGCCAAUGGCACUGCCCGGUAGCUACAUGCGGAAGAGAUAAGUGCUGAAAGCAUCUAAGCACGAAACUUGCCCCGAGAUGAAUCUUCCCUGAGCCUUUAAGGCUCCUGAAGGAACGUUGAAGACGACGACGUUGAUAGGCCGGGUGUGUAAGCGCAGCGAUGCGUUGAGCUAACCGGUACUAAUGAACCGUGAGGCUUAACCUUACAACGCCGAAG